GACGAACGCUGGCGGCGUGCUUAACACAUGCAAGUCGAACGGAAAGGCCCUGCUUUUGUGGGGUGCUCGAGUGGCGAACGGGUGAGUAGCACGUGAGUAACCUGCCCUUGACUUUGGGAUAACUUCAGGAAACUGGGGCUAAUACCGGAUAGGAGCUCCUGCUGCAUGGUGGGGGUUGGAAAGUUUCGGCGGUUGGGGAUGGACUCGCGGCUUAUCAGCUUGUUGGUGGGGUAGUGGCUUACCAAGGCUUUGACGGGUAGCCGGCCUGAGAGGGUGACCGGCCACAUUGGGACUGAGAUACGGCCCAGACUCCUACGGGAGGCAGCAGUGGGGAAUAUUGCACAAUGGGUGGAAGCCUGAUGCAGCAACGCCGCGUGCGGGAUGACGGCCUUCGGGUUGUAAACCGCUUUCGCCUGUGACGAAGCGUGAGUGACGGUAAUGGGUAAAGAAGCACCGGCUAACUACGUG
rnacentral:rRNA from 1 species